GAAUCUCUGUAGGUCUGAUGAGCUUCUUCUCCGCAUGGAUGAGUGGACCAGCAGAGCUCAGAGGUCCCCAGUGGUUCAUCUGCCCAGCAGCAUCAAACACAACUGGACUCCAUAUUUAUGCUGCUGGAGG